GCCCAGACUCCUACGGGAGGCAGCAGUGGGGGAUAUUGCACAAUGGGGGAAACCCUGAUGCAGCGACGCCGCGUGAGUGAAGAAGUAUUUCGGUAUGUAAAGCUCUAUCAGCAGGGAAGAAAAAAGACGGUACCUGACUAAGAAGCCCCGGCUAACUACGUGCCAGCAGCCGCGGUAAUACGUAGGGGGCAAGCGUUAUCCGGAUUUACUGGGUGUAAAGGGAGCGUAGACGGCAAUACAAGUCGGAAGUGAAAUACCCGGGCUCAACCUGGGAACUGCUUUGGAAACUGUAUGGCUAGAGUGCUGGAGAGGUAAGCGGAAUUCCUAGUGUAGCGGUGAAAUGCGUAGAUAUUAGGAGGAACACCAGUGGCGAAGGCGGCCUACUGGACGGUGACUGACGCUGAGGCUCGAAAGCGUGGGGAGCAAGCAGGAUUAGAUACCCGCGUACU
rnacentral:rRNA from 1 species